GUAGGGAAUAUUGCGCAAUGGGGGAAACCCUGACGCAGCGACGCCGCGUGAGUGAUGAAGGCCUUCGGGUCGUAAAGCUCUGUUGCAGGGGAAUAAAAAAAUGAAGGUACCCUGUGAGGAAGGAUCGGCUAACUUCGUGCCAGCAGCCGCGGUAAGACGAGGGAUCCUAGCGUUGCUCGGAAUCAUUGGGCGUAAAGAGGGCGUAGGUGGCUUGGUAAGUCAGGUGUGAAAGCCCAGGGCUCUACCCUGGAAGUGCAUUUGAUACUGCUGAGCUUGAGUGUCGGAGAGGUUACCGGAAUACCUGGUGUAGUGGUGAAAUACGUAGAUAUCAGGUGGAACACCGGAGGCGAAGGCGGGUAACUGGACGAACACUGACACUGAGGCCCGAAAGCGUGGGGAUCAAACAGGAUUAGAAACCCGUGUAGUCC
rnacentral:rRNA from 1 species